AUGGUCCGCCCUGGAAGCGUUAUC
rnacentral:misc_RNA from 1 species